GACGAACGCUGGCGGCGGGCUUAACACAUGCAAGUCGAACGGAAAGGCCCUGCUUGUGUGGGGUGCUCGAGGGGCGAACGGGUGAGGAACACGUGAGUAACCUGCCCUUGACUUUGGGAUAACUUCAGGAAACGGGGGCUAAUACCGGAUAGGAGCUCCUGCUGCAUGGUGGGGGUUGGAAAGUUUCGGCGGUUGGGGAUGGACGCGCGGCUUAUCAGCUUGUUGGUGGGGUAGUGGCUUACCAAGGCUUUGACGGGUAGCCGGCCUGAGAGGGUGACCGGCCACAUUGGGACUGAGAUACGGCCCAGACUCCUACGGGAGGCAGCAGUGGGGAAUAUUGCACAAUGAGCGGAAGCCUGAUGCAGCAACGCCGCGUGCGGGAUGACGGCCUUCGGGUUGUAAACCGCUUUCGCCUGUGACGAAGCGUGAGUGACGGUAAUGGGUAAAGAAGCACCGGCUAACUACGUG
rnacentral:rRNA from 1 species